rnacentral:misc_RNA from 1 species
GACUAUGUCCGUUGUGGCAUUGCUAGUGCCUCCAGCACAGACCUUAUUUUGACAGGCUCCUAUGACCACACUGUAAAGCUGUUCGAUACCCGGAUAAAUGACUCCGUGAUGACGUUUCAACAUGGCCAUCCGGUGGAGAGUGUCCUGAUGUUCCCGAAUGGCGGAAUCUGUCUGUCUGCAGGUGGUAACUACAUUAAAGUCUGGGAUCUUUUGCAAGGAGGGCGUCUACUUUCAACAUUAUGUCAUCACCACAAAACUGUGACGUCACUUGCCUUCUGCAAUAAUUUUACGCGAAUUCUGUCCGGAUCGGUAGACAGACACAUCAAGAUUUUUGACAUCAGUACCUACAAGGUUGUGCACACUCUGGACCUGCCUGGUACAGUUCUUAGCGCUGCAGUCUCACCGGACGAUGACAUCCUAGUUGUUGGAAUGGCAGAGGGAUUGUUGUCCAUACAGAAAAGGAAAACGCCAAAAGAACCGACCAGUAAAAACAAGCAGACCUCCAGAUACAACGCAACAGGGAAGACUUACCAACCCCAGAAGACCGACUUUAUUGUUCAUCACAAACGGAAAGAACAACUUGAAAGAUAUGACAAAUAUUUCAAGAAAUUUGAAUUUACAAAAGCUUUGGACGCUGCCAUGAAGAAAGGUGUAAGUAUGCCAUCACCAGAGGUCACAGUUCGAGUUCUUCAAGAACUAAUGAAAAAAGGAGCAAUCAAAGCUGCCCUAGCGUGUAGAAGCGACCUCUCUGUUGGCUACAUCAUACAAUUCAUCAAAAGAAACAUUAGCAAACCAUCAUUUCAACCAGUGCUUCUGGAUGUCGCUGAUUUAUUACUAGAUCUGUACGCCGAACAGGUGGGUCAGAGUCCCGUGAUGGACUGUCAGCUGACCGAGCUCAGGGAGACGGUGGAACAGGAAGUGAACUAUAUGACAGAACUAAGUGAGGUUAUGGGCAUGCUCGACACGGUUUUUGCUUCGGCAGCCAUGAAAACGAGCACACCGUCAUCAGAAACUGUGCCUGUAAUGACGCCAUCUGCUGUGGCACAAGCAGCUGAUAUUUAAUAAAAAAUAAAAUAUUGC